rnacentral:rRNA from 1 species
UACGUAGGGUGCAAGCGUUGUCCGGAAUUAUUGGGCGUAAAGAGCUCGUAGGCGGUCUGUUACGUCGGAUGUGAAAACCCGAGGCUUAACCUCGGGCCUGCAUUCGAUACGGGCAGACUCGAGUGUGGUAGGGGAGACUGGAACUCCUGGUGUAGCGGUGAAAUGCGCAGAUAUCAGGAAGAACACCGGUGGCGAAGGCGGGUCUCUGGGCCACUACUGACGCUGAGGAGCGAAAGCGUGGGGAGCGAACAGG